CCUACGGGCGGCAGCAGUGAGGAAUAUUGGUCAAUGGACGAGAGUCUGAACCAGCCAAGUAGCGUGAAGGAUGACUGCCCUAUGGGUUGUAAACUUCUUUUAUAUGGGAAUAAAACGUUCCACGUGUGGGAUUUUGUAUGUACCAUAUGAAUAAGGAUCGGCUAACUCCGUGCCAGCAGCCGCGGUAAUACGGAGGAUCCGAGCGUUAUCCGGAUUUAUUGGGUUUAAAGGGAUCGUAGGUGGAUUGUUAAGUCAGUUGUGAAAGUUUGCGGCUCAACCGUAAAAUUGCAGUUGAAACUGGCAGUCUUGAGUACAGUAGAGGUGGGCGGAAUUCGUGGUGUAGCGGUGAAAUGCUUAGAUAUCACGAAGAACUCCGAUUGCGAAGGCAGUUCACUGGACUGCAACUGACACUGAGGCUCGAAAGUGUGGGUAUCAAACAGGAUUAGAUACCCGUGUAGUC
rnacentral:rRNA from 1 species